GCCGGGAUCGCCUAGCCUGGUAGGGCGGCGGCCUGCUAAGCCGUUGGGGGAAACCCCGCGUGGGUUCAAAUCCCACUCCCGGCG
rnacentral:tRNA from 1 species